rnacentral:rRNA from 1 species
GUGGGGAAUCUUGCGCAAUGGGCGAAAGCCUGACGCAGCCAUGCCGCGUGGAUGAUGAAGGUCUUAGGAUUGUAAAAUCCUUUCACCGGUGAAGAUAAUGACUGUAGCCGGAGAAGAAGCCCCGGCUAACUUCGUGCCAGCAGCCGCGGUAAUACGAAGGGGGCUAGCGUUGCUCGGAUUUACUGGGCGUAACGGGCGCGUAGGCGGACAUUUAAGUCAGGGGUGAAAUCCCGGGGCUCAACCUCGGAACUGCCUUUGAUACUGAGUGUCUUGAGUAUGAGAGAGGUGUGUGGAACUCCGAGUGUAGAGGUGAAAUUCGUAGAUAUUCGGAAGAACACCAGUGGCGAAGGCGACACACUGGCUCAUUACUGACGCUGAGGCGCGAAAGCGUGGGGAGCAAACAGGAUUAGAUACCCUUGUAGUCC